GUGAAAUCCCCGGGCUCAACCUGGGAACUGCAUUCGAAACUGGCAGGCUAGAGUCUUGUAGAGGGGGGUAGAAUUCCAGGUGUAGCGGUGAAAUGCGUAGAGAUCUGGAGGAAUACCGGUGGCGAAGGCGGCCCCCUGGACAAAGACUGACGCUCAGGUGCGAAAGCGUGGGGAGCAAACAGGAUUAGAUACCCUGGUAGUCCACGCCGUAAACGAUGUCGAUUUGGAGGUUGUGCCCUUGAGGCGUGGCUUCCGGAGCUAACGCGUUAAAUCGACCGCCUGGGGAGUACGGCCGCAAGGUUAAAACUCAAAUGAAUUGACGGGGGCCCGCACAAGCGGUGGAGCAUGUGGUUUAAUUCGAUGCAACGCGAAGAACCUUACCUG
rnacentral:rRNA from 1 species